AGUGGUUAAGGCUACGUGGACCGACAAAGACAGAUUCUUUGAGGGAGCUAAGCUUAACGUAGUUCUAACAG
rfam:Dengue virus 2 isolate XZXM10610, complete genome